rnacentral:tRNA from 1 species
GGCCGGUCCGGGUGGGCCGGAUCGGCCAUGGCCCGGUCGAAAUCGACGACCGCGUCGUAGACCCGGCUGGUGCGGAUCCAGUGAUUGACCU